UGAGGAUGCCCUGCCGCAUCAGGGCUGUGUGUUCGUGCGUGCAUGCGUGCGUGUGUGAGUGUGUGUAUGCGAGUGUGGAUAGUGCGUGCGGAUAGUGUCUGUGAACGUGCCUGAGCCUGAGUGGCCGCUCCGCGGACAGGCACCUACUAUGUGGAACAGGGUUGUGCAACAUAGCAUAACAUGUCCACAACCCUGGGCUGUGCAACAGGAGUGCUGCAGAGAGCGAGUUGGCAAGAUUCCUGCCCAGGAUGGUCUGACGGUCCAGAGGAAAUAGGAAAGGUGUUGGUGGCGUCAGUGCUGUGCAGAGGAAUACAACUGAUUUGGGUGCAUGGCCAGAAGGCCUCUUAAGGCUCCACGUGGGAGCAGGAGAGAGGGCUGGUCCGUCCGGAAUGAAUAGUCAACAAACACCUUCUGAGUGUCUGCGGAAGCCUGGGUCCCUUCCUUUCAGCAGCGCCCGGAGGCGGGGACGCGGAAACAGGCUCCGGGGUGACAUGACUUGCCCAGGUCAGCCUGGCCAGGAAGUAGUCAAAGCGGGAUGUGAUCUCGACCCCACCAGGGGCGGGCGCACU